GCGGAAGUAGCUCAGCGGUAGAGCGUCUCCUUGCCAAGGAGAAGGUCGCGGGUUCAAAUCCCGUCUUCCGCUCCA
rnacentral:tRNA from 3 species